UACGUAGGGGGCAAGCGUUAUCCGGAUUUACUGGGUGUAAAGGGAGCGUAGACGGCAGCGCAAGUCCGAAGUGAAAGCCCGGGGCCCAACCCCGGGACUGCAUUGGAAACUGUUGAACUGGAGUACAGGAGAGGUAAGCGGAAUUCCUAGUGUAGCGGUGAAAUGCGUAGAUAUUAGGAGGAACACCAGUGGCGAAGGCGGCUUACUGGACUGUAACUGACGUUGAGGCUCGAAAGCGUGGGGAGCAAAUAGG
rnacentral:rRNA from 1 species